rnacentral:rRNA from 1 species
UUGCUCUUCAACGAGGAAUGCCUAGUAAGCGCGUGUCAUCAGCAUGCGUUGAUUACGUCCCUGCCCUUUGUACACACCGCCCGUCGCUACUACCGAUUGAAUGGCUCAGUGAGGCCUUCGGACUGGCCCAGGGAGGUCGGCAACGACCACCCAGGGCCGGAAAGUUCGUCAAACUUGGUCAUUUAGAGGAAGUAAAAGUCGUAACAAGGUCUCCGUAGGUGAACCUGCGGAGGGAUCAUUACCGAGUGAAGGGCCUCCGGGCCCGACCUCCNAACCCUUUGUAUUCCGACUCUGUUGCCUCGGGGGCGACCCGGCCUUCGGGCGCGGGGCCCCCGGCGGUCCACUCAACUCUGCAUCUUUGCGUCUGAGUAAAUAUUUGAAUCAAUCAAAACUUUCAACAACGGAUCUCUUGGUUCUGGCAUCGAUGAAGAACGCAGCGAAAUGCGAUAAGUAAUGUGAAUUGCAGAAUUCAGUGAAUCAUCGAAUCUUUGAACGCACAUUGCGCCCUUUGGCAUUCCGAAGGGCAUGCCUGUUCGAGCGUCAUUACACCACUCAAGCCUCGCUUGGUAUUGGGCGCCGCGGUCCGCCGCGCGCCUCAAUGUCUCCGGCUGAGCCGUCCGUCUCGAAGCGUUGUGCAUCAAUCAAUCCGCUUGCGAGGCCGGGCUGGCUGCGCGCCGUUAAACCCCCCAUUCUUCUAGGUUGACCUCGGAUCAGGUAGGGAUACCCGCUGAACUUAAGCAUAUCAAUAAGCGGAGGA